GAACGAGGAUAUAUCCUUCGGGAUAUAAGCCGAGUGGCACAAGGGUGAGUAAUGCAUAGAUUACCUGCCUUUAGGAUAAGGGGAACUUUGUGAAAACGGAGCUAAUACUUAAUAAUACAAAAGAAAAUAAUUUUCUUUUGUCAAAGGGAGGGUGGCAAUACCUUUCGCCUAGAGAGGGGUUUAUGUCCUAUCAGCUUGUUGGUGGGGUAAUGGCCUACCAAGGCGAAGACGGGUAGCCGGUCUUAGAGGAUGGUCGGCCACACUGGGACUGAGACACUGCCCAGACUUCUACGGAAGGCUGCAGUCGAGAAUCUUUCGCAAUGCCCGAAAGGGUGACGAAGCGACGCCGCGUGGGUGAGGAAGGCCUUCGGGUUGUAAAACCCUGUCAGGAGUUAUGAAAUGUAAGUGCGCUAAUAUCGUGCUUAUUUGACAAAGGCUCCAAAGGAAGCCACGGCUAACUCUGUGCCAGCAGCCGCGGUAAUACAGAGGUGGCGAGCGUUGUUCGGAAUUAUUGGGCGUAAAGAGCACGUAGGUGGGUUUGCAAGUCAGAUGUGAAAGCCUUCUGUUCAACGGAAGAAUUGCAUCUGAAACUGCUAAUCUUGAGUAUAGGAGGGGAGAAUGGAACUUCUGGUGGAGCGGUGAAAUGCGUAGAUAUCAGAAGGAACGCCGGCGGCGAAAGCGAUUCUCUGGCCUAUUACUGACACUCAGUGUGCGAAAGCUAGGGGAGCAAACGGGAUUAGAUACCCCGGUAGUCCUAGCCGUAAACGAU
rnacentral:rRNA from 1 species